rnacentral:rRNA from 1 species
GACGAACCGUGCAAACGUUAUUCGGAAUCACUGGGCUUAAAGGGCGCGUAGGCGGCCUGCUAAGUCGAACGUGAAAUCCCCGGGCUCAACCCGGGAACUGCGUCCGAUACUGGUUGGCUUGAAUCCGGGAGAGGGAUGCGGAAUUCCAGGUGUAGCGGUGAAAUGCGUAGAUAUCUGGAGGAACACCGGUGGCGAAGGCGGCAUCCUGGACCGGCAUUGACGCUGAGGCGCGAAAGCCAGGGGAGCAAACGGG